CUUCGUUACUCAGGAGAAAAAAAGAGGGAGCGAGAGAGAGAAAAUCAAGUCGCAGCCGGCUUGGCCCGGUGUUGGGGGCGGUCGCGCGGAACGGUGAGGCUGUGAGAACUUCCCCAGCUGCUGACUGAAGUGGGAAGUGAGGUGUGAACUGAGACCCCGGGAGAGAGGCCCUCCGGGUAGGACCUGGCCUCGGACUGGCGGCGUAAAGGGUGGCGUUGCCACCGACUGAGAGUGGUUGAGCUGGCCUCUGGCCGAGUGUGGGGAGAGAGGCUUCACUUCUUUGUACACAUGUGCAGAGGCUAUGAAGUCCAGGAUUAAGGUGCUGGCCAAUUCAGUUUCUGGUGAAGACUCUUCUGGAGUUGCAGACUUCUGAGUUUAUCUUCAAAUGGCCUUUCCCCAGUGGGCGUAUGUGGGGAGAGGGGAGAGCCAUCCUGCCUGAAACUCAGGAAACACAAGGUCCCUGGUUGUGUAACAUGAGUACACUUGAAAGUUCCUCGUCCUUAUCUGGCAACCCAGAUGGAUAAAUACUGGCCCUGAAGAUGCUUUUCUUAAAACUGAGCACAAGUGGCUGCAGAACAGAGCUUGGGAAGAACCAGUUAUUCUUCUGCCAGUUCAAAACUGGGGGCCCCUUCCCUCUAGCAUUCAUCCUCUGCUUGCCGGGGCAUAUCAAUUUCACCCAAAUCACGUGGACUAAGGUGGUGAUGGUGGGCUGUGGUAGGUAUGAUUUCCCCAAAGAAAAUUCAGAUGAAGUCACCAGAGGGAAGAAGGAAGAAUGGAUGUUUAUGCAAAAGACGCAGAUGUCCACAACAAUUCCCACAUGGGAAGAGAAUAAUCCAGGUUUAAGAGCCCUGGCUUGGGACCCCAGUGUCUGGGGAUGGAGUCCCAGCUCUACCAUUUACAAAUUGUGUGACCAUGGCUGGAUCAUGUCACCAGUCAGUAUGGGUCUGUGUCCCCAUUAACAAAUGGGAGUGAUGGUCCAGCAUUGUGGGCCUGAAUCAGAGUGACAGCACAUUGCAAAGGCACCAUGUAAGCUCCAGCAGGUGUGUCACAGCUACUUGUGGUGUCAUGAAGUCUGAAGUCUCUGAUCCAGUGAAUCAACUUCUGAAUAUUUAAUCAAAGGAAAUUAAAACACUAACUCAGGAGUUCCCAUCAUGGUGCAGUGGUUAACGGAUCCGACUAGGAACCAUAAGGUUGCGAGUUCGAUCCCUGGCCUUGCUCAGUGGGUCGAGGAUCCAGCAUUGCCGUGAGCUGUGGUGUAAGUUGCAGACACGGCUGGGAUCCUGCGUUGCUGUGGCUCUGGCGUAGGCCGGUGGCUAUAGCUCCAAUUAGACCCCUAGCCUGGGAAUCUCCAUAUGCCGCUGGAGCGGCCCUAGAAAAAGGCAAAAAGACAAAACAAACAAACAAACAAACAAAAAAACACUAACUCAAAAAGGUAUCUGUACCCCCAUGUUCAUUGAAGCAUUAUUUACAAUAGCCAGGAUAUGCAAACAACCUAAGUGUCUAUUGAUGGAUGAAUCAAUAAAGAAAUGUGGUGUGUAUAUGUAAUGGAAUAUACUUCAGCCAUAGGAAAGAAUAAAAUUCUGCCAUUUUGCAACAACAUGGAUGAACCUUGAGGGCAUUAUGCUAAAUGAAAUGUCAGACAGAGAAAGACAAAUACCAUAUGAUCUUACUCAUAUAUGAAAUUAAAAAGAAAAACUAAGGUCAUAAAUACAAAAAGUAGAUUGGUGGUUGCCAAAGAUGGGGGGAUAGGAGAAUGGGCGAAAUGACUGAAGGGGGUCAAAAGGUAUAGACUUUCAGUUAUAAGAUAAAUAAGUCCUGGGAUAUAAUGUACAGCAUGGUGACUGUAGUUAACACUGUAUUGCACAUUUUAAUGUUUCUAAGAGAGUGGAUCUUAAAAAUUCAUCACAAGAGAAAAAAUUUAUAACUAUGUAUGGUAACAGAUAUUAACUACACUUAUUAUGGAGACCAUUUUUCAGUGUAUACAAAUAUUGAAUCAUGUUGUAUGCCUGAAAUUAUUAUAAUGUUAUAUGUCAAUUAUACCUAAAUAAAAAACAAAAUGAA
rnacentral:lncRNA from 1 species